CCUACGGGUGGCAGCAGUGGGGAAUCUUGCGCAAUGGGCGGAAGCCUGACGCAGCGACGCCGCGUGGGGGAUGACGGCCUUCGGGUUGUAAACCUCUUUCAGCAGGGACGAAGGUGACGUGUACCUGCAGAAGAAGCGCCGGCUAACUACGUGCCAGCAGCCGCGGUAAUACGUAGGGCGCGAGCGUUGUCCGGAAUUAUUGGGCGUAAAGAGCUCGUAGGUGGCUGGUCGCGUCUGCCGUGAAAGCCCGCAGCUUAACUGCGGGUCUGCGGUGGAUACGGGCCGGCUGGAGGUAGGCAGGGGCAAGUGGAAUUCCUGGUGUAGCGGUGAAAUGCGCAGAUAUCAGGAGGAACACCGGUGGCGAAGGCGGCUUGCUGGGCCUUACCUGACGCUGAGGAGCGAAAGCGUGGGGAGCGAACAGGAUUAGAUACCCUUGUAGU
rnacentral:rRNA from 1 species